UACGAAGGGGGCUAGCGUUGUUCGGAAUCACUGGGCGUAAAGGGCGCGUAGGCGGCUUUAUAAGUCGGGGGUGAAAUCCUGGAGCUCAACUCCAGAACUGCCUCCGAUACUGGGAGCCUUCGAGUCCGGGAAAGGUGAGUGGAACUGCGAGUGUAGAGGUGAAAUUCGUAGAUAUUCGCAAGAACACCAGUGGCGAAGGCGGCUCACUGGCCCGGUACUGACGCUGAGGUGCGAAAGCAUGGGGAGCAAACAGG
rnacentral:rRNA from 1 species